rnacentral:lncRNA from 1 species
CAAAUUUCAAAAAAUUACAAAGUAAUCACAAAUAUAUAAUUAAAAAUCAAAACUAAAAAAUAAAAAUCAUUCAUCUUCUUCCUCCAUCUUCUUGUUCCACAUCUUAGCUUCUGCUUGCUUAAUUCUCACGAUGCUCUCCAAUUCAUCAUAAACGAUUUUUUAUCCAAUUCGUAAAUCCACUUUUAUUUCGUAUUUAUCAUCCCCCUUGUCAUCAAGGCUGGAAUGUAAACCAACCGAUUUUUUCCAAACAAGGCGCUUGUAUGAAGAGACGGACUUUAGCCACAUGGGUCCUUGGCUGGACCCAGCAAUACCAUUACUGCCUUCUUUAUUUGUUGUUGGUAAAUCUUUCUUGAAUUCGGUAGGAACAAAGCCUAGCUUCAACAAAUCGGAUUGUGCAAUUAAAGAUAUGCAAGUGAAGACAUUAUUCAUGAUAUGCAGCGGAAGAAUAACAAAGAUAAUUUUUUUUUAAAGCUACACACACACACACACACACAUAGAGAGAGAGAGAGAGAGGGGAGAGAGAGAGAGAGAGAGAGAGAGAGAGAGAGAGAAGAAGAAGAAGAAGAAGAAGAAGAUGAUG